UCGAAAGAACACGUUCGCACAACUUUUACACGACAAACAGCUGAUUUCCGUUCCACUAAAAUCCAUCAGAACGAAAAUUUGUACGAAAAUCAAAGCGAACGAAAACGUAAGCGUUUCAGUGUAAUUUUGCGUUCCACUAUCUUUUUUCUUACGUACGCAUGCGAACACAAAUGUCAAAAUCAGUCACUUGUGUGUUUGCUGUCGAAUGAUAAAAAUUAAGGAAAAUUGUUUUAACAUAAACAUUCCUUGAUUGAAAAUGGAAAGAAAAAUCACGAAAAAACUACACAGCUGCGGGCACUAGUUGAGUAUAUGGGGGAGAAUCCUAAGUUCGGCAGAGGAGUGCCAAUUUUUGGAAGCAGCAGGCAAUCCCAUGAAGACCACUGGAAGACACAAACCUAGAAAAAAUCAUUUUUUUAUUAUUUCAAAAAUGUAAAAAUACAAUCAUACUUACUGGUUGUUAUGUACUUCAAAUAAAGUCGAAGCAUCUCUUAAA